AUUGAACGCUGGCGGCAGGCCUAACACAUGCAAGUCGAACGCGUGGCGGACGGGUGAGUAAUGUCUGGGUCACUCCCUGAUGGAGGGGGAUAACUACUGGAAACGGUAUCUAAUACCGUAUACCCUCGGAUGUCCCCAGAUGGGAUUAGCUUGUAGGUGGGGUAAAGGCUCACCUAGGCGACGAUCCCUAGCGGGUCUGAGAGGAUGACCAGCAACACUGGAACUGAGACACGGUCCAGACUCCUACGGGAGGCAGCAGGGGGGAAUAUUGCACAAUGGGCGCAAGCCUGAUGCAGCCAUGCCGCGUGUAUGAAGAAGGCCUUAGGGUUGUAAAGUACUUUCAGCGGGGAGGCGUUACCCGCAGAAGAAGCACCGGCUAACUCCGUGCCAGCAGCCGCGGUAAUAC
rnacentral:rRNA from 1 species